rnacentral:rRNA from 1 species
UACGUAGGGUGCAAGCGUUAAUCGGAAUUACUGGGCGUAAAGCGUGCGCAGGCGGUUUUGUAAGACAGAUGUGAAAUGCCCGGGCUUAACCUGGGAACUGCAUUUGUGACUGCAAGGCUAGAGUUUGGCAGAGGGGGGUAGAAUUCCACGUGUAGCAGUGAAAUGCGUAGAUAUGUGGAGGAAUACCGAUGGCGAAGGCAGCCCCCUGGGUCAAGACUGACGCUCAUGCACGAAAGCUGGGGGAGCAAACCGG